CACUCCUGCAAUCGGCAAAGAGACACCUUGUUGUUGGUGGUGUUCUUCUAUCAGUCAGGCAUAGAGCAGAUGACCAUCCUUUGUUCAUCCUAGCUUGAUGCCUGACUCGGUGGCCAAAGAUAUUUAUGCCUAGAUACAUAA